rnacentral:sRNA from 1 species
UACAUGUUGCCAUUGGGCGUAGGUCCA